rnacentral:rRNA from 1 species
CCCGCACAAGCGGUGGAGCAUGUGGUUUUAAUUCGAAGCAACGCGAAGUAACCUUACCAGGUCUUGACAUCCCGAUGCUAUUUCUAGAGAUAGAAAGUUACUUCGGUACAUCGGUGACAGGUGGUGCAUGGUUGUCGUCAGCUCGUGUCGUGAGAUGUUGGGUUAAGUCCCGCAACGAGCGCAACCCCUAUUGUUAGUUGCCAUCAUUCAGUUGGGCACUCUAGCGAGACUGCCGGUAAUAAACCGGAGGAAGUGGGGAUGACGUCAAAUCAUCAUGCCCCUUAUGACCUGGGCUACACACGUGCUACAAUGGUUGGUACAACGAGUUGCGAGUCGGUGACGGCGAGCUAAUCUCUUAAAGCCAAUCUCAGUUCGGAUUGUAGGCUGCAACUCGCCUACAUGAAGUCGGAAUCGCUAGUAAUCGCGGAUCAGCACGCCGCGGUGAAUACGUUCCCGGGCCUU